rnacentral:lncRNA from 1 species
AUCAAUCAAAUACUACUAUCACCUGAUAAAUGUGUGUGUUGCUUAAAAAAAAAGAAGGACCCGGGCCAAUUUCCAGGUCCCGUCCUUUUCAGAGCGAGAAGGAUCACCAAGUAUGAGCUCGCGUCCACAGAGCAGCACAGCACGCCGGUCGUCGCUGCUUCCUUGCGCGAUUGGAUGGACAUCGUUAGCCUAGCCACCACACAGGACGCACGAAAAUCUACUGACAGCGCUGGGAGGGAGAUGAGAAAUGGCCUUGUUUAGAUGCGAAAAGAUUUUGGAUUUCGCUACUGUAGCACUUUCAUUUGUUUGUGGCAAAUACUGUCCAAUCAUGGACUAACUAAGAUCAAA